rnacentral:lncRNA from 1 species
AUUAUAAGCACAUCUGAAUACACCUACACUUACAGAGCUAGACCUACACACACUGAAAAAAUACAAAGAAAAUAUCCUUGAAAAUACACUGAUUCUACACUGCUUUUUGAGUCUCUUUUCUUCAUUUUAACAAAGAACUCCUAUUGGUUUCAUAUUUUAGCUGGGAUUUCUGAGUUCGAAUUUAAAGACGUUUUAGUUUCCUGUUUGGUAUUCUUGCUGCUGCUUUUGCUCAGAUUUUUCAGAAACUUAUUUUCUAUCUUUCUGUUUGUUUUCUUGCUGCUAUCAAGGUACUAUUCUAAACAAUGUAAAGGUUUAAUCUCGUUGUUAUCCUGACUAUGAAUUUGCUGUGUAUUAAAAGUUGUGUUUGUUUAAAAGUGGUCUGGUGUAUGGUUUAAUUUACUGCAUGAAUCAUGUGGUUUAAAGUUGUUUAGUUGGAAGUUAUGUGUGAACCCAUGUAGAACUAGUCAUUUACACUGUUUAUUCUAUUUAAGUUAUAUUAGCAUUAUGUUAAAAUAUUCAUAAAAUUGCAAAAAAUUUGUUUAAGUUUCAUGUGUUCAUCCAGAAGAUCUAUAUGCUUGUAUGUAAUAGAAGAAGUGAAAAACAGUAUUCUCUUUUAAGAAACUUGUUAGAGUAGUAAUAGGUAGAUUUGGUUAUCAUUAAAGAAUUAAUCUCAGUAUUUAGUUAAUAAGUUAGUUCUUUUAUAUCUUACUUGUAUAAUGAGUUAGUUUGAUAUAUUAAUAGCUUUACUAUUUUGUUUAAAGCAAUUAAACAUAGUAAUUCCAAUUCGUUAGUUUUUGGAUCAUGAAAAACUGAUUUUUUUGAGCUAACUGAAUAGUUACCAUGGUACAUUUUGGGUCUAUGGGAUUUUACUCUAGGUUUUCUGCUAAUAAAUCAAGUUGGCAAUUCGAUCAAAGGCAUUUACUCUUUAAAGUUUUAAAUACACAAUGAUUUUUUUAACUUAUCACUUUAGCAUAGUGUUAACAUAAGAAGUAAAAGUCUUAGGUAGAAAAUUAUCGAUUUGAACCAGAUUUUGAUUUACUUUACCCAUCCCAACCCCCUUUAGAUUUAUGUUUUAAAAAAUAAUUAAAAUAUAGGUAAAAUUUUAUAAUUGCUACGACAAAUGUGGGUCUCAAACUCGUUCAGAUAAAUAUGUAUUGGGCCAGAGUCAUUUGGACUCAUCAUUCCCAGGCCCAAAUUAUCCUUGAUUAAUUUCAUUUAGCUAUUCAUAAGAUGUGCAUUGGGCCAGAGUCAUUUGGACUCAUCAUCAUGCCCAAAUCUUCUUGAAUUAAAAUUGCUUUGUUGAUCGAAUGCUUGAUAACAUGUGUAUUGGGCCAGAGUUCGUUUGGACUCAGCCAUUAUUCGCCCCCUCCCCCCCCCCCCCCCCCAAAUUAAUUUUUCGAUUAAGAUUCAACUUAGCUGGCCCAUAUAAUUGAUAAUGUAUGUAUUGGGCUAGAGCCCAGUUGGACUUAGCCUUUAUCAGGGCCAAACUCUUAAUCAUGGGCCUGUUUGGUAGAUAAUAAAUAAGUGGCCUAAUUUAAUUUAAACAAAUAUUUCACAUAGUAUUGAACCUUUUACACUUAGUUAUAUGACAUAAUGUACUUACCUUAGAGACAUAAUCAUAAUUUAGGUAUACUUAUAACUGAACUAAUUAUUAUAAUUAUGUACACAUACGCGUGAUAUAGUUGUGAUACCACAAAAAAACCAAGGUGCACGCUCGCGUGACCAUGAACAAACAUUCUUAGUAAGUAGAACGUCUUAAUCAAACACUCGUAGAAAUGUUGUAGGCGCGGGUUUUAAAACUACUAUCGUGAUUGCAUACAUAUUCGUGUGACGUGAUUCCGAUUUUUUUUCCAAAUAAACUCAAAGUACGUGUUCGCGCGACUUUGAACAAACUUUUUCUUAAAUAAACUAAGUGUUGUAAAUUGCGUGCACAUACACGUGACGUGAUUCUUAACGCACUAAACUAAAACGAGUAUACGUACGCGUAACUCAUCUUAAGUUAAUCCUUUAAAUACAUGUUAUCAAGUGAUUAGUAGCGGUAAAAGGUAAAAUAAAUAUAGGUCCUAAAAUAAGUAAUUAGAUAAAAUAAGCCAAGUAUAAAUUGCUAAGCGACCGUGCUAAAACUACUAAACCAGGGAAUGCCUAACACCUUCUCCCGGGUUAACAGAAUUCCUUACCUAGUUUUCUAGUUUUGCAGACUUUAAACGAAGUCAAAUUUUCCUCUAUUUGGGAUUUAAAAUAAACCGGUGACUUGAGACACCAUAAAAUUAUCCCAAGUGGUGACUCUAAAAUAAAUAAAUAAUCUCAUUUCGAUUAUUGUCACUUUAAUUGGAAAAAUUCUCCUAUCCCAAUCCCCUCGAAAAAAGGAGGUGUGACAAGGACCUGGUUCUCUACUAUCCUUCAGGAGAUAAUUUCAACUUAACUGGGUACGUUGAUGCUGAUUAUGCUAGCUAUCUAUUGGAUAGAAAGAUCACAUCUGGCAUGGCACAUUUUCUGGGAUCGUGUUCAUUUUUUUGGGGUACAAAGAAACAAAACUCUAUGGAUCUUUCAACUGCAGAAGCUGAGUAUGUGGCAGUUGCCUCUUGUUGUGCUCAACUACUGUGGAUCAAGCAAUAACUAGAGGACUUUGGUGUAUUUUUUGAUUGUGUUAUAUUAUUGUGUGAUAACACCAGUUCUCUCAACACGACAAAAAAUCUGGUUCAGCAUAAGAGAACAAAGCAUAUUGAUGUAUGACAUCAUUUUCUUAGAGUAAUGUUGAAAAAUGUCGUAUCUGCAUGAUGUUCUGCAAAGCAGAAGACCAAGUAGCAGAUAUCUUCACCAAAUCAUUGAGCAGAGAGAACUUUAAAGAGAAUCGAUUGGCAUUGGGGUUGAUAAAAUCAAACCGAGCACCAAGUCCCUCAAUGAUUGGCUAUGAACGAAUGAACAGGUAAAACAACUAAAACGUAUUUUCUAGCAAGUUCUAACUCAUCUCUAUAUCUUUACAGGUAAACACGUAUGGUAACUACAGAGCAAACACAUAGCUAAUAACUUUGCAUCUUGGUAAAAGGAUGAGGCUCACAUUUACAAAACUAAGUUAGGGAAACUGGUUCUCUUGACUCAGGUUAGUAGUUCCUUUAUACUCUCAUGCACAUUUUUAACGGCUAUAAAAGUGCCAAGUCAUUAAAUGUUUCAGUCUCUCUUUCUCAUAUCUUUAUAACUCAAAUAUCACACCCAUUACUAGAUGACCCGUCUACCCAAUGAUUCAUACAUGUUUGUAAUCGGUCCUUCACUUCUUCUAAAUAACCCCAAACACUAUCUCUUUCCUCAUUAUCCACAUCAAAUCCAAAAAGUCCAUUUUCUCUCUCUCUCAAAUCAAACUCUCUUCUUCUCAUUUACUCACUUUAGAUCUCCACUAUGUCUCAAAAUCUAGAAGUUUCAAACAUUUCCAGCGUAGUCCCCAUUGUGUCUUCAUCUCAUGAAGCACUAGAGCGAGUUAUGGUUCUCACCGCAGUCGUAAGACUCAGAAUCACAAAAGAUUUGUUGUUGCGACCUCUCUUUCUACCUCACCGGAAAAAAUGGCAGAAGGUAAAACAGUAGACGGAGACGACGGGCAGAAAGUUUCUAUUCAGAAGGUUGCGGAAAGUUCUGAAGCCCAAUAAGAUGUGGCUUGUAGUAAUGAAGGCUCAACAAUGACCGUUCCAAGCUUUGAUGUAAAUAUUGCCAAUCCUAUAGGUAAUGUUCCUCAUGUAUCAUCUAAUUCUACUUUAGGGGUAAAUAAACAAGAAGCCAUUAAGAAUAUGUUACUAAUUUCUGCAGAUAGAGGUUUGGUUGGUGGUUAUAAGGGUGAUAACGAGACCACUAGGUCUUAGGGGGAAUGUGAAAGUCACAAAGUUGAAGGGGGGAACUGGUGGUUGAAGGUGGGGAACUGGUGCCCUUUAGAAACUUGGCACCAGUCAGUACUACUGGGGAAACAACAGAGGGACCUGAUCCCUCUGCCAAAGAAAAGCAUUCUGCUCCUACUUGGGAGGAAACCCCUUGCUCCUCAAAAGAGCCCCAGGUCAGUAUUGAUCCUGCCCCUUCUUCUCACUUCGAUGCUGAGCCGCUGAACUUUGUCAUCCCUGAGAUGAGAUCUCUAUCCAAAGAUAAAAAUAAAAAUAGUGAGGAAGACUAUGACAAUGUGACUGUGGCAAGCUUUAUUACUGCCAGAAGUGGUGGGGCAGUUCCCAAAAAGCCCAUUCUCAAAAGACCCACCACCAGGUUAUAAAAGAAAGAAGCUUAUGAGUCUGUGCUGAAGCAAAACAAAGAGGAAAUGGGAAGAAGAAGGUUGGUAAAAGGGGUAAAGCUAGUCAAUUAGAAGGAUGUGCCUCCAGCACAUGUUGUUCAUGUUGAUGAUGAAGAAGUGAACGAGGAACUUGCUUCCUUAAUUCGUAAAUUCUCUAAGAAACUUGUGAUUCCAAGUCCCAAGAGAGGGUCAUCUCUGAAAGUUGUGGAGGACAAAAGUGUUUAGAGUGAGAAGUCUAGUGAAAAAUAUCCUGAGAAGUCUGAAAAGAAGGAGGAAACUAUGAGGAAGUCUGUGAAGAGGAAGGCUAGCGACAACGAAGAACCUGGUUCCUCCAAGAAGUCCAAAGUGACUGUGUCAAAAUAUGGAGGCAGAGAAAACCUUAGGAAACAGAGAGUGAUAUGGGGCAGAACCUUCGCACCUGACAUUCUUGACAUGGCAGGAAUGCGUCAACUGAUCGAUAUUUUGUGAGUUUCAAAAGUGGACACACUUGUUCACCAAUGAGAGCCCCAAGGUGUAUAAGGAAUAGGUGUGUAGCUUCUACGAAGACAUGUUCAUAGUGGAAGAUGAUAACAUAUGCUUGAAGGUCAAUGGAGUAGAUUUUGUGAUGGACGAGGCUGUGUUGGGGAAUAUUUUUAGAGUGCCUACUGAAAGGAUCUCAUCCAUUGAGGGGAACUAUUCUCCAAAUUUCAGGAGUUCCAUUCUGAAGGAUGAUGCUGUGUAGUAAGGAGAACAGGUGCACAAGAAGCCCCUCCUUCCAGUGUCUCAACUUUUACUUGAGAUGGUGAAUAAGGUCUUGCUUCCACGUGCAGAAAGGAAUUCCAUUACUUUCAAAGCAGACCUAUUCCUAAUGGAAACACUGGAUGCCUACACCACUAUCAAUUUGCCUGGUCUUAUAAUAGAGCAUAUAAAGAAAGUGUCAGACUUCAAGGAUGGUAAUCAUGGUUUUCCUUAUGGGUUCUUGCUCACUAAGGUGUUUAACUUCUUCAAAGUCUCUUUGGAAAAAGCAACAGUGAGAACUCGCAAGUAGACCUUCUCACACCUUGGAGGAAUGUGAGUGUAUUGAUAAGAAAGGAGGGGUUGGAAACAAUUCCACUAUCUCUCAAUUGAUUGAUGCUUAGAAUGCUGCAAAUGAGGAGAUAAGGAGGUUGAAGGCACGAAAUGUCAUUCUUGAAGGAUAGCUUAGUCGGGCCCAGGAAGCACCUUGUUCCAACAGUGCUGUGAUAAAAAACCUCUUCUAGCAUCACUUCAAUUUGCGUGCACAGUCCGGGUGCAUAGUCAGAAAGCUAUUAUGUGAAAAUCUGUGAAAACAAUGAUAAAUUUUGGCUAUAAAAUGAAUUAAGUUGACUUUGGUCAACAUUUUGGGUAAACAGACCCGGACCCGUGAUUUGACGGUCCCGGAGGGUCCGUAGGAAAAAAUGGGACUUGGGUGUAUGCCUGGAAUCGAAUUCCGAGGUCCCAAGUCCGAGAAAUGAAUUUUUAAAAGAAAUUAUUUUCUGAAAAAUAUAAAGGUUUUUGAAAGUAAAAUAUUAUAUGAAACCUGUGGUAUCGAGACCGUAUUAUGGUUCUAGAGCCUGGUACUGGUUCAAUAUGAUUUAUAUGUAUUGUCGGUAAAGUUUGGUAAGAAACAAAAUUCAUUUGACGUGAUUCAGACCUUAAAUGCAAAAUUUGAUGUUUAAAGAAGUUUUUGAGAAAUUUCAUUGAUUUUGAGUUUAAUUCGAUGUGCAUGAUGUUAUUUUGGUGAUUUGAUUACACGAAUAAGUCUGGAAGAUGUUUUUGAGGUUGUAUGUAUAUUUGGUUUGGAGUCCCGAAGACUCGGGUGAGUUUUGGAUAGGUGUCGAGGUGAUUUAGACUUAGAAAAAUCUGGUUUUCUGCUGUUGCUGGUGUCCAGUUAUUUUGUACUAUGCGAUCGCAUAGGAAGGCUUGCGAUCGCAUAGUGUAAACUUCAGGGGUCCUAUUUUUUGCUAUGCGAUCGCAUAGUCCUUCCGCAAUCACAUAGAGUAAAUUCUGGGAGGUCACAAUUUGUUCUAUGGGGUCGCAUUGUUUCUUCCGCAAUCACGAUGUAUUAAACCAAGCCUGGGAAGGGAACCCGUUUUCUUCUAUGCGAUCGCACUGCCUUGACCGUGAUCGCAGUGACCAAUCUCCCUUACCUUAUGCGAUCCCAUUCCUUUCUUCGCGAUCGCAUAGACCAAAAUCCGCCCAGUUAUUUUUAAGUUCAAAACAGAAUGUAUUACAGGAAUUUCACCAUUUUUCACAACUUCUGCUUCUCCACACCUCUUGGGCGAUUUUUGAAGAGAAACUUCACCACAACUUCAUAGGUAUGUAAUCCUGAGCUCGUUUUCUUCUAUUUUAUCAACACCCAUUAGAUUUCUAGGCCUAAAACAUGAGAUUAAGGGUAGAAAAUUAGGGAUUUGGGUAGAGUUAAGACUUUUUGAUUAUUUGGGAAUUUGACCUCGAUUUGGGGUCGGAUUUCAAAACAAAUUAUAUAUUCGGGCUCAUGGGUGAAUGGGUGAUCAAUUUUUGGUCCGAACCUCGUGUUUUGACCAAGCGGGCCCGGGGGUCAAUUUUUGACUUUUUGGGAAGAAUGAUAGGAAAACUAUAAUUAAGCAUUGAAAUUGAAUUAUUUAGCAUUUAUUGAUGUUAUUAAGUCGAUUAUGUCUAGAUACAAUUGAUUUGGAGCCAAAUUCAAUAAGAAAAGCGGUGUUUGAGGCUUGAGUUGGUCGUGGAAGUUCAAGGUAAGUGUUUGGUCUAACCUUAGCUUGAGGGAUUAGGAGUCGAGUCCUAUUUGCUAUGUGGUAAUUGUUGAGUACGAUGUAUAGGCAUGGUGACGAGUAUCUAUACGAUUGGUGUCUAGCAUGCCCGUGAGUCUUACAUUAUGAUUAUCAUGACUUCGUUGUAUCUUUCAUGCCUUGGUGAUGGUUUCUAUUUGUUGUGUAAAGUUUGUGGAAGAAAUUGUGACCUAUGAACAUUGAGGAGUGUUGGCUCAAGUUAUGUAAUGAAUUGUGGAAGUAUAAGUGAUAAUUGAACCUUUAGAGUAUUGGCUCGAGUUGUGAAUUGAAUUGUGAAGUAAAGUGAGAAAGAGAAGAGAUCAUUAUGUUGCCCCCCCUUGCCGGGCUUUUGUUGCUUUAUUUGUUAUCUCCCUUGCCAAGAUGUUGAUGUUAUUGAUGUUGUACCUUGCAGGGACUUAUUGUUAAACUAUCGUUCCCUAACCGGGAUUAUUGUUGCAAAUUUUAUUUAUUUUCCUUGCACUAUUAUUUGUGAUAGUUGUUUGGGUAAGGAAGAGAGUUAAAGCACUAAGGGUAAUGCCGUGUAUUGUUUUGUGAGGAAAGAGUGUAAAGCACGGAGGGUGAUGCCAUGUAUGAUUUGUGAGAAAAGAGUGUAAAACACGAAGGGUGAUGUCGUGCCGCACGAUGUACUAUUCCGUGCCGAUUAUAUUGAUUAUAUGGUGAGGAAAGAGAGUAAAAACACAAAGGGUGAUGCCGUGCACAUUAUUACUAUAUGAUUGCUUUGGUGAGGACGAGAGUAAAAACACGAAGGGUGAUGCCAUGCAUUUAUUGAUUCUGAUUCCUUGAUGAUAUCCGAGUUAUAUUGUUUCUUUCGUUUACUUGUUGUAUUUCUAUUCGGGAUUGAUAUCUUCCCCCGCAGCAUGCUACCCCUCCCAUACUUGAAUGUUUAUUUCUAUAUUUCUUUUCCGCUGUAUAUAUUUGAAUUGCAUAGGCUUAUUUAAUAGUCUGGUCCUAGCCUCGUCACUACUUCGCCGAGGUUAGGCUAGGCACUUACCAGCGCAUAGAGUCGGUUGUGCUGAUACUACACUCUGCACUAUGUGCAGAUCCCGGAGCAGCUCUUGGACCGUAGUUUUGAGGCUACCUUCAGUCCACGCAGAGAUCCAAGGUAGACCUGCAGGCAUCCGCAGACCCUGACGUCUCCUCUAUCUUUUAUUUCCUGU